GGGGUGAGCUAGAGGGGGAGGGGGUGUGUGUGUGCACACGUGUGUGUACUGAGGUGAAAGGAUGAAAAUGGUAAGGUUGGAGGCUGAGAGGACAGGGGAAAUAACGGAAUAGAAAAGGGCAACACUAGCAGACUGGAGCAGGGAGAAACAAACUGAGGAGAGAAAUUUGCUGGGUUCACACAUCACAACCAACCCUGUGUGGUUUCCAGAGUGCAAAGUGUUUUGCCUAGAUAUGCCUGACAAAUGAUCGUGUCUUUUUUGCACUAGUGUGUUUUCCACACUCCUCACAUAGUCCUCCCACUAUUGGCAUAUAUCUCAUCAGCCACUGGACCCAAUAUGUAAUCAUAUGCUGAAUGGCUGGAAUAUUUCUUUCAGUUGUUGCUCUUUCCAGGGGUCUCUGUGAUGGCUGUAUGGACUGUGGCAAUCAUCCUGCUGGGUUCAAACAACUGGAGAAAUUAUGGGAAGAAGUUGUGCUGGAGCCUUUAAUAAUGGACAGAUUCAGUUAUGUUUUCCAUUAACUUGUUCAGGUCUAGGAAAAAAAGAAGAAGAAUGGUUGGAUUCUCUUGCUCAAAAUUCAAGCACAAAGAGCUUAUCAAAAACUAAGGAAAAAAGUGGUUGCUUUGCAGCAGAGCAGUUCUUCACACAGGAAUGAGUUUUUGAUUGAUGCUAAAACCGGAUGCAUCAGAAAUAUGAAUGAACACAUCAUCAUGGAAAACUAACAUGGAUUGAUUGGCCCAUUCCAAGUGGCACCUAGAUGUCACAGUUACUCCCUUAAGAAGAAUGUUUGAUAACACUUUGCUGGCAGAAAAACUGACAGCUAGCUUUUGGCCUACCAGUUGAGUGAUUUUAAUUAGAUAUUUUAAACUCUGCAGCUUAUAUUCAUUUAAUUUAUUAAUUAAAAAUUCAUAAAGCAUCCUUCAUCAAAUAGAUAUCAGGGCAGGAAAUAUAAGUAUAACCCAA